UACGUAGGGGCCUAGCGUUGUCCGGAUUUAUUGGGCGUAAAGAGCUCGUAGGCGGUUUGGUGAGUCGGGUGUGAAAUCUCCACGCUCAACGUGGAGGAGCCACCCGAUACUGCCAUGACUAGAGUCCGGUAGGGGAGUGUGGAAUUCCCGGUGUAGCGGUGAAAUGCGCAGAUAUCGGGAGGAACACCAAUAGCGAAGGCAGCUCGCUGGGACGUUACUGACACUGAGGCGCGAAAGCGUGGGGAGCGAACAGG
rnacentral:rRNA from 1 species